rnacentral:rRNA from 1 species
ACGGGGUGCAGCAGGCGCGAAACCUUUACAAUGCACGAAAGUGUGAUAAGGGAACCCAAAGUGCUAGUACAUUGUAUUGGCUUUUUUCAAAGGUAAAAACUUUGAAGAAUAAGUGGUGGGCAAGACCGGUGCCAGCAGCCGCGGUAACACCGGCGCCACAAGUGGCAUCCAUAUUUAUUUGGCCUAAAGCGUCCGUAGCUGGUUUGGUAAAUCUCUUGUGAAAUUGUUAAGCUCAACUUAACAACGUGCAGGAGACACUGCCUUACUUGGAACCGGGAGGAGUCAAAGGUAUUCUUUGGGGAGCGGUAAAAUGCUAUAAUCCUUAGAAGACCACCUGUGGCGAAGGCGUUUGACUAGAACGGAUUCGACAGUGAGGGACGAAAGCCAGGGGAGCGAUCCGGGAUUAGAUACCCGAGUAGUCCUGGCCGUUAAACUCUGCGAGCUAGGUGUUGCAUAUUCUUAGAGGAUGUGCAGUAUCGUAGCGAAGGCGUUAAGCUCGCCGCCUGGGAAGUAUGGUCGCAAGACUGAAACUUAA